rnacentral:rRNA from 1 species
UACGUAGGGCGCAAGCGUUUAUCCGGAAUUAUUGGGCGUAAAGAGCUCGUAGGCGGUUUGUCGCGUCUGCCGUGAAAGUCCGGGGCUCAACUCCGGAUCUGCGGUGGGUACGGGCAGACGUAGAGUGAUGUAGGGGAGACUGGAAUUCCCGGUGUAGCGGUGGAAUGCGUAGAGAGUCGGGAAGAACAUCCAGUGGCGAAGGCGGUCUGCUGG